rnacentral:rRNA from 1 species
GAUGAACGCUGGCGGCGUGCCUAAUACAUGCAAGUCGAGCGAACGGACGAGAAGCUUGCUUCUCUGAUGUUAGCGGCGGACGGGUGAGUAACACGUGGAUAACCUACCUAUAAGACUGGGAUAACUUCGGGAAACCGGAGCUAAUACCGGAUAAUAUUUUGAACCGCAUGGUUCAAAAGUGAAAGACGGUCUUGCUGUCACUUAUAGAUGGAUCCGCGCUGCAUUAGCUAGUUGGUAAGGUAACGGCUUACCAAGGCAACGAUGCAUAGCCGACCUGAGAGGGUGAUCGGCCACACUGGAACUGAGACACGGUCCAGACUCCUACGGGAGGCAGCAGUAGGGAAUCUUCCGCAAUGGGCGAAAGCCUGACGGAGCAACGCCGCGUGAGUGAUGAAGGUCUUCGGAUCGUAAAACUCUGUUAUUAGGGAAGAACAUAUGUGUAAGUAACUGUGCACAUCUUGACGGUACCUAAUCAGAAAGCCACGGCUAACUACGUGCCAGCAGCCGCGGUAAUACGUAGGUGGCAAGCGUUAUCCGGAAUUAUUGGGCGUAAAGCGCGCGUAGGCGGUUUUUUAAGUCUGAUGUGAAAGCCCACGGGCUCAAUCGUGGAGGGUCAUUGGAAACUGGAAAACUUGAGUGCAGAAGAGGAAAGUGGAAUUCCAUGUGUAGCGGUGAAAUGCGCAGAGAUAUGGAGGAACACCAGUGGCGAAGGCGACUUUCUGGUCUGUAACUGACGCUGAUGUGCGAAAGCGUGGGGAUCAAACAGGAUUAGAUACCCUGGUAGUCCACGCCGUAAACGAUGAGUGCUAAGUGUUAGGGGGUUUCCGCCCCUUAGUGCUGCAGCUAACGCAUUAAGCACUCCGCCUGGGGAGUACGACCGCAAGGUUGAAACUCAAAGGAAUUGACGGGGACCCGCACAAGCGGUGGAGCAUGUGGUUUAAUUCGAAGCAACGCGAAGAACCUUACCAAAUCUUGACAUCCUUUGACAACUCUAGAGAUAGAGCCUUCCCCUUCGGGGGACAGAGUGACAGGUGGUGCAUGGUUGUCGUCAGCUCGUGUCGUGAGAUGUUGGGUUAAGUCCCGCAACGAGCGCAACCCUUAAGCUUAGUUGCCAUCAUUAAGUUGGGCACUCUAAGUUGACUGCCGGUGACAAACCGGAGGAAGGUGGGGAUGACGUCAAAUCAUCAUGCCCCUUAUGAUUUGGGCUACACACGUGCUACAAUGGACAAUACAAAGGGCAGCGAAACCGCGAGGUCAAGCAAAUCCCAUAAAGUUGUUCUCAGUUCGGAUUGUAGUCUGCAACUCGACUACAUGAAGCUGGAAUCGCUAGUAAUCGUAGAUCAGCAUGCUACGGUGAAUACGUCCCCGGGUCU